GAUGAACGCUAGCGACAGGCUUAACACAUGCAAGUCGAGGGGCAGCAUACUAAUCAGCUUGCUGAUUAUGGUGGCGACCGGCGCACGGGUGAGUAACGCGUAUGCAACCUACCUAUCAGAGGGGGAUAGCCCAUCGAAAGAUGGAUUAAUACCGCAUAAAACAGGGGCCUCGCAUGAGGAUAUUUGUUAAAGAGAUUCGCUGAUAGAUGGGCAUGCGUUCCAUUAGUUAGUUGGUGAGGUAACGGCUCACCAAGACAUCGAUGGAUAGGGGUUCUGAGAGGAAGGUCCCCCACACUGGUACUGAGACACGGACCAGACUCCUACGGGAGGCAGCAGUGGGGAAUAUUGGACAAUGGGCGCAAGCCUGAUCCAGCCAUGCCGCGUGAGUGAUGAAGGCCUUAGGGUUGUAAAGCUCUUUCACCGGUGAAGAUAAUGACGGUAACCGGAGAAGAAGCCCCGGCUAACUUCGUGCCAGCAGCCGCAGUAAAAC
rnacentral:rRNA from 1 species